CUCUGGGGCAACCUGCUGGACCAAGAAUCAAACUCCAGGCCAGUCUGGAGUAUCGGGUCCCCAGCAGGUGGGAACACACGAGGCAGACGUUCCAUGGGUGCAAAGGAGAAAUCAAAGAGAAUUCACAAGCGCCCUUCGGACAGUGGUUCUGGUCACCCACACUGUCCCCAGGGGACAGUCCUCCUGCAAAGCCGGAGAGAGGGGGAAACCUGCCGCACUCUCCAGGUAGGCCUGGCUGGAUCCUGAUGCUUCUUGUUGACAGCCACCAGCCUGCCUCCCGGACACAGAAAGACAGACAGACAGACGCCACCUGCAGGCCGGACCAUUCAGAGAGGCAGAGAGCAAAGACCGUGAAUAAAGGAUCCGGCUUCUUCCUGAAGGGCUGAGGACAACAGGAAAGAGAGAAGGAUGUCCAGCAGAUCCUUCAGAGUAGAGGGGCAGCGGCCUGGGAGCUCCCGUGCCUGAGGACAGUCUCAGGAGUUUAUAAACGUUCUGUCUUCCCGUUGAGAUAAUCUCACUCCCGGCCCAGCUCCUCUGUGAUAAUGCUGACGGGGGCCUCUUCUGACUCCCUUGAUCUGUCCACUGAUUGGUAGAUGUUUAGGGGCUGUGAUGGGUCGGCUGGUGUCCCCACAAAGCAUGUCCACCGAGCACCUCAGAAGGCGACCUCAUUUGGAACAACCCAGUCGCCCACUACUUGGAAUGGAGAGGGGAGCUCGUGUGUCUGCCAGGCCUGAGCAUGAACCAUAGCCUCCGGAUGGAAGGUGGUGCUUCUAGACGUUCCCAGGUCACUCUCAGCUGACCUCACCUGCGGACAGGCGCAGUGGGGGGCACCCCGCCCUGCCCAGGGCCUCCUCUCUGACGCCCCCAGUCAUUGACUUUCCAGCCAUGUCUGCCUUGGGAGGAGGCCAACGCACAGAGCCCCUGUCUGGGGAGCCGUGGCUCAGAGGACGGACGCUUCCCAGAGCCCCGUGCUGGGCAUUCUGAGUGGAAAGCAGACCCUGUGGCCUGCCCUGCCGGGAUCAAUUUGACAGAACCCCAUGGAGUGUGAGAAACCAAUACGGCCCAUUCAACUUGAAAGCUCGUCUUAUUCAACUGUGUCCAUUUUUUCCCCAAGAAAUUUCACACCUUGACACAAAUGAGAAGAUCUUAAGAAAGAAUAAUUUAAUGUUAGGUAGCACUUCCAACCGCGAUCAGGUAUGUGGAAAUGUUCCCUCUUCUCUGUGGCCAGUGGCCUCCUGAGAUACAUGAAAGGAAGCCCACUCCCCCAAAAGGGUGUCCCUCCCAUGACAGUAAAGCCCCAAACUGGCUCAUCUCACAACAACCUUGUACAUCUGAUGGUGAAGGCAGGUCAACAAGAAUGGUACCUAAGCUGCAAUUUAGCUGGUAUUACCUGGGUGACCUCAGAAGGUAAAGAAUCUGCCUGCAUUGCAGGAGACCCAGGUUCAAUG